rnacentral:rRNA from 1 species
UACGGAGGGGACUAGCGUUGUUCGGAUUCAUUGGGCGUAAAGGGUGUGUAGGUGGCGCCGUAAGUCGGGUGUGAAAUCUCGGGGCUUAACUCCGAAACUGCAUUCGAUACUGCGGUGCUUGAGGACUGGAGAGGAGACUGGAAUUCAUGGUGUAGCAGUGAAAUGCGCAGAUAUCAGGAGGAACACCGGUGGCGAAGGCGGAUCUCUGGGCCUUACCUGACGCUCAGGUGCGAAAGCUAGGGGAGCGAACAGG